GUGUCUCUGAGAAAGAGGAAAUCUUGGCAGAGGCGCCACACCCCAGAAAUGCCAGCCUCGGGCCCAGCUCCAAGCACUUGGCACUAGUAGCUGCAGAGUAGCCUGGUGUGUGAGAAAAGCCCAGAAAGCAGCUAACUCCAAGUUCAAGUCUAGAUUCAGUCCCAGCUCUGCGGCUUACUGCCUCAGACACCCCCUGGCUCUUCAUCUCCCCAAAUGUCCCAAACUUCAUAGCGCUCAUUUUACAGCUGGGAAGACUGAGGCACAACGGGCAAGUCUAGACAACCUUACCCUUUCUUGCCUUGCAGACUGGGAGUCCCAGUAUGGAACAUUCUUCCUCUACUCUUUGCCUAGCUAACUCAUGUUCAUAGUUCAGGGCUCAAAGGGCACCUCCUCCAGGAAGCCUUCUCUAUGCCUCAGUGCCCUCAUCCAUAAAAUGGGAAAGUGGGAAGCUUCCAUUCUAAGCUUAACCUCUAGAAAGAUCUCCCAAUGCAUCCAUCCUCCAACUGGCUGGCCAAGUCCUUCCCCACCCAGAUCUGCUAGAAUAGGGGCUGCCUGCAUGUUGGGGAGACUCAGUUCCCCAAGGCAAAGUGGAAGGGGUACCUCAAUGAGGGGAAGGGAGCCUGUGGGGAAUCUAUUAAGCAUGGUGGUUCAAAACAUGGGCCAGUGGGUUCAAAUCCUGCCCGGCCAUGAACUCCAGCAGAUCAUUUACCCUCCAGAGACUCUUACAGCCUCUUGUUUUCUCUCCAAUGAAAUGGGGUACUAGAACCUACCCUAUAUAUAGUGUUCUGAGGGUUAACUGACAAAAUGAAUGUAAAGAACAUACCACAGUGUCUAGUACCUGAUAAGCCUUCAUAGAAUUACUACUGCUGAGAGGUGCUUAAGAGGAUUCUUCUAUAUGGAGAGCUUAAAUCCAGGGGGGGGGCUACUUUAAGGACACAAAUAACCAUAAAUAGGAGAGGCACUUGGGCUGGAGACAGAGCCAGGGACUGGAAACUGGGGUGGGAGUCAUCAGUGGGAGUGGAUGGGGUGGCCAAUGGCAGUACUAGGAGCAGGGUGGAUCCCUGGUGGCCCGGGGGAAUGGCCAGAAAGGUGGGAGGAGAGCUAGGUGAGUCAGGUGCACUGGGGAGAGCCCCAGCUCACCUCCCAGCCUCCCCUGGUUUCCCCUUCGGUGACCCCUUUCCCUUAGCAGAAGCCGAGGCCAGAGGCAGGCCUGGGGCUGCCACCACACCUUCCCAGGGGUUGCGGGAUGGGUUUGAAGUGAAUAAAUCUGGAGUAAACAAAGUGUAGUAAGUAACACUAAUGCUAGGCUCUGAGUCUUACGAUUACUCGCAUUUUUUUUACAGGGGCAUUUCCCAGGGCACAGAGAGGUUAAGUGACCCGUGCAAAUGUAAUGGUCAAGGCUGCGUUAAAAGCCAGAAAGCCUGAAUUUAGGGAGGAGGCCAUGAAACCGUGCCCUGCACGCAAGAGCCUCGCCCAGGUGGGCGCUUGGAAUCCAAAGGCGACUCUCCUUGUGAGCCAACCUCUGUCCCUGAGCCCGUUGGAAGGCAGUACUUUUGGGGCGCCUUUCUACACCCUUCCACCCCACUCCCCUCUUUGGGGAGCUUGUCCACCCCUCAGUGCAGCCCCCAUCUGGCCAGCUGCCAGAGCCUGUUGUCAGGACUGCCAUUCCGACUGUCGUUGCCGUAGUGGCCGCCAGGGGUCGCCUUGAGCGCGCGAACGGCGGCACCGAAGAAAACCCUGCGGUACGGGGGGCACCGGGUCUUCCAAGGCCCAAAGGAGCACACCCACCUCCGCGCUCGCGCUCGAGGCCCCGGGCCUUACCUGCCUGGAGCUGGGGCGGUCUGAGUCGGGGAGGCUUUCUUGAGUUCCCGGGUCAGACCCCGCCCCACAAGCGUCUGACACCAGGGUCCUGCCACCCCCAGCCCUCGCAGCUCCUCCGACUUACCUCCAUCCGUCCUUCCUUCCUUCCCUAACACUCCCGGAGGCAACAGAACGAACGUGAAGUCCGCCGACUCAUCCCUGCCUGGAGCACUUUUUCGAGCACCAACUGUAUGCCAGACAAUACCCCCGGAGGUACUGGAGACCCGAGGUUGAGCAGGACAGGACCCAGAACGGGAGCUCGGUGAGGGAGGGAGGGUUUGUCAGCACUGUUCACUUGCAGCUCCUGGCGCACAGAAGCCCUCAGUACCCAAAGCAUGUUUGGUGCUUACAGCCUGCUCGGAGAGCCUGGAUUGAAAAGGUGAUUGCACAAUUCAUCGGUGACCGCUGUGAGUGCUCCAGACGAGCUAUACCAGGCCCAGGCUGUUUUACUUAACCGGCUGGAUCUUAAUCUUCCCUAAUGUCCCACACUUCAUAGCCCUCAUUUUACAGCUGGGAAAACUGAGGCACAGGCGGCAGUCUAGACAGCCCUACCCUUUCUUGCCUUGGGAGUCCCAGUCUACAACAUUCUUCCGCUACUCUUUGCCUGGCUAACUCGUGUUCAUAGUUCAGGGCUCACGCAAAGGGCACCUCCUCCGGGAAGCCCUCCCUGAUCGUCUCCCCAGUUCCGUGCUCCCCAUCCACCUGAUUAUGGGUCUGUCUCCCCUUCUGGACUGUGAAACCCUGAGGGCGGGAAGCAUGUAGACUCCGUUCCUCCUCAUCUACCUUUAGUACCCGGCUCAGUGCCUGGCAACAGGGUCAAGAGCGAAUGAAUGUUUGUCGAAUGAAGAAACGAGAGCGCACGGAGCAGAGGGUGGAAAGGCGCCCUUCCAGGUUCUUCUACCCUGGCCUAAUGGCAUUCUGCAGCCCAGAAGUAAGCCCCACUGGCAUUCCGACGUUCCAAGGACGCCAGGAAACUAUCAAGUGUCGGAGCUGAGCUGGAGGAGUCGGAGUCCAGUUUCCAUGGCAACCCCAGCCACGUGUCCAGAGCUUCCCGAGGGUGGACACCGGGCCCCCCUUUGGGCCUCCCUGGGUGCCUGGUGCACCGUAGGUGCGCCUCAGGGUUUGCUGAAUGCACUAGAGGCCACGGCACCCCCUGCAUCUCCCCGGGACCCUCUGAGAGCGGGGUGGGGGAAGCCUUGGGCCCCGAGUCCCCCGGGGCAGAAUACAGCCUCCUGCCAGACACCGUGGGUGGGCUGUGGCCAGGCUUUGCUCCCUUUUCCAGCCCGGUCUGUCCUGUUGCCUGCGAGUGGCCUGGCCUCCUGAGCAGCCCAGCCCCCCCCCCCUCCAUCCCCAAGCAGGGCCCUGGCCACCCAGCCCUCAUUGGCUGCAUGUAUCCUUGGAGACAGGCACCAGCAGAGCAAACAGGCCACCGGCUGCGGGCAGAAGGGUGCCUCCCUCCCCGCCCCUUCCCCCCCCACCGCCAUGAGGGAUCUGAGCACCACCCAGAGCCGAGCCUGCUGGCAAGAGCACAUCCAGAAGGAGACCACAGCCCGGGGCGCCUGGAAGAUCAACUACGGCCACAAGUACCUGAAGGAGGGGCCCAUGCCCAGGAAGCGGCUCCAGCGGGCCCGCCUCGGGUUAGCCUUGGGAGCAGGGCCCUUGGCUGUCACCAGCUCCCCUGAGAGCAAGGAGGUACAGGAUGGACGGCCAGAGACCAAGGGGGUCCGGCAUCAGCUGUCCAGGGGAGUGGGUGUCCAGGGCUCCCCGCCCAAGGGAGACAAGGUCUGGGAGACCCAAAGAGGCCCUCAGGGUCCAGCAGUCCAGACCAGGCCAGAGGGCUUAGAAAUGCGGCAGGUCCCCCCCAGCACCCUGCAGCUGCUCUUCCAAGGCAUCUCCCACGACGGCCAGGGCCGGGCCUCGUACCUCCGCGAGCGGCAUCGGAGAAGCCGGAGAAGUUUCUGUACCCGAUCUUGUCAUCCUGGGAGUACGGCUGGCACAUGGGUAAGGGCUGCCACCAUCUUGCCACUCCAGGCCUCUGCCGGCAGGCCGGGCCUUCCCCGCCCCAGGCCUGUCCUUAAUUACCCUGCAGGCACCAGCCUAUCCCUCUGGUGCACCCUUCUCCGAGCAGGCCCCACGCCUUCACACCUUCAGGCCUUCACACAUUUUCCACCUGGAAUGUACCUCCUGCCUCUUCCUCUGCUCGCUAACUUUCACAUGUCACCUCCUCUGGGAAGUCCUCCGAAAGUCUUCCAGGCGGAUUUGAGUCCACCCUUGUGCUUAUGCAGCUUAUUGCGUCUACAAAAGCGCUGGGCCCACUGUGUUCCUUGAGUAUCCAUCUGGCCUAAGGAGCCCUUUGGGUUCCAAACUUCUUAGUUAAUUUUAUUAAGGCCCCCCCAAUCCCCAGCUUGGGACUGGUACUCUGUGACCGUGGAAUGAAUGAACAAAUGAAUGAAGGUAGACCUAGGGAAUGAGGCCUUGGUUUGGAAUCAGGAAGUGCAAAUUCAAAUCCUGGCUCCUCCCCUUGGGAGCUGUGUGAGCUCAAGGAAGAACCUUAACUUCACUGGGCCUCAGUUUCCACAUCUGAAAAAUGGGACUAUACUAAUACCUGCCUUCCUAUGUCACAGAGUUUUGAGGAAAUCACAUGGGAAAGCACCCUGAACAGAAAUUUUCAGCACCUUGAACAGAAAUUUUCCUCACAAAAGCCUCACGAGGUGGGUGGGACAGACAUUCAUUCAUUCGACAUGUGAUGCUUUCAUUCAGGACAGCCCAGGGAGGGAGAUCUGGAAUCACCGAAUCCCAGCUCUGCCCCAACAUGAGUUAGCAAAUGAACAAGCACAGAAGAGGGACUCAGUUUGAAAUUAGGGGGCCUUGGGGCGCCUGGGUGGCUCAGUUGGUUAAGCAAUUACCUUCGGCUCAGGUCAUGAUCCUGGAGUCCCGGGAUCGAGUCCCGCAUCGGGCUCCCUGCUCAGCGGGGAGUCUGCUUCUCCCUCUGAUCCUCCCCCUCUCAUGCUCUCUGUCUCCCAUUCUCUCUCUCAGAUAAAUAAAUACAAUCUUUAAAAAAAAAAAAAAGAAAGAAAGAAAUUAGGGGGCCUGGGUUUGGAUUCUGGUCUGUUCAUUCUUUCAUUCAACAAAGGUUUAGUGAGCACCUGAUAUAUAUCAGACCCUUUGUGUCCCUGGGGAUACGACAGGAAAUGUGAGUGUUGAUGCUGUAGAAGGAGAUCAGUUAGGAAAAGGAGAGGAAGACCCAGGGGCUCCUGGGGUAGACAGGUGGUCAGGGAGGCCUGCUGGGAGGGGACGCUUGAGCAGAGGCCUGAGGUGUUUCCACGCCAUCAGAUUCUCCUGAGGAGGGCCUGACUCCCUGGGCCCACAGAGCGAGUCUCAGUUCAGGCGCUAUGCCCUCCUCCCUGCCCCCUCCGCUCCUCCAGCCUCCAGGUCUAUGCCGCCUGCCGGGGAAUCCACUGCCGGGCAAGGGUCACCGCCAGACUCAGCAAAUUAAACUACGGGAUGCCCGUCCCAUUUGAGUUUCGGGUAAACAAUAAUUGUUUAGUCUAAGUAUGUCCUAGAUAUGGCAUGGAACAUUCUUAGACUGAAAAAUUAUUCAUCGUUUAUCUGAAAUUCAAAUGUAACUGGGCAUCCUGUACUUAAUCCAGCAACCCAAACACGGGAGCGGGGGGAGCUGCUUCUGGAUGCCUCCCGCGUGCUCGGGCAGUGCUAGGUUCAGGGCAAAGACUGGAAGACUGUUUUCCUCCAUAGUCGUUCUGCUUAAGAUCCCAGAUGCUCCUAGAAUCUCCGGAACAUUCUGUAAGCGUCUGGCCUCAUGCCCCUAACCCGACCAGUUCAGGGGCUAGAUGAGGAACAGUUGAGAGAACUUCUCUGUCUGCGGACCAUCUCUCCCCGUUCCCCGACCAGGUUACAGACAGGAGCUGCGUCAUCCCCGGGGGUGCAAACAGCCAUGGGGGAGUGGGGUUGAAGGCGUUGUCUGGGCCCCAGCUGGAUUGUCCCCAAAUGCCCUUUUAUACACAGAAAGUACCGGUCUAGCGCCUGGCACAUAGUAAGUGCUCAACAAAUGGUAACUGGUAUUAUUAUUAUUAUUAUUAGGAGUUCAGCAGACAGGACUUGCAGGCUGUGGGCAUUUGGGAGCUAGUUCAGCCUUGGCCAGGACCCCGGAGGUUCUUACUGUGAGGCACUGGGAUGGAAAGGCUCUCACUAGACAAAAGGGAGAAAUGUGAUGAGGUUACCCGUAGGUGUGGCAUAGGGAUGGGGUCAAAAGAGUCAACCAUUGGAGUGACUUGAGUGCCUGCCACCCAUCGGGGCAGAUCGUGGGCCCAGGGCCAAUGCAGGGUCUUGAGGUCCCCAUGCUACACCAGGUGUACCGUCUAGUUGCUGGAUGCUAAGAAGGAAUGGGGGGAGUCAGGUAGGGAUCAAGGGGCACAGAGGCAAGCGCUGCUCCUAACUGUACUUCUAACCAGAGCAGUUGCAGCAGGUGUCCGCACUGACCCUCAGCUCUUCCUGCUGGGCCAGGGCUGGCGAGAGGAACGACGGGCCCGGCUCAACCAGGCCUUUGCUGUGUUCCAGGGGACACCAUGAAGGACGCCAGGGCUCCAACGUAUGCCAGGUGCCAGCCCAUCUCAAAGACCUUUUACAUCAAAAGUAGCGUCUUCCGGGGCGCCUGGGUGGCUCAGUUGGUUAAGCGACUGCCUUCGGCUCAGGUCAUGAUCCUGGAGUCCCAGGAUCGAGUCCCACAUCGCUGAGCAGGGAGCCUGCUUCUCCCUCUGACCUUCCCCCCUCUCAUGUGCUCUCUGUCUCUCUCAUUCUCUCUGUCUCAAAUAAAUAAAUAAAAUCUUUAAAAAAAAAAAAAAAAGUAGCGUCUUCCAUUUUCCACAGCGAAGAGACCAGCUAAGCUGAACUCACUGGGGGUUCAGAGGCAGCUCCUGUCUUUUCCUGUAGUCUGUCUGGACCCCCCGCCUGCUACCCCUCCUUGGUCCCGUCCAGCCCUGCUCCUCUGCGGAGCGUGGGAGGACAUGAACGCUUUUCUCUACCUCUGGGACUCAGGUGGCCCCCCUGCUGCCUCUUGGAUGUCCUCAGGGACCUCAGUUCCUUGCAGAGCCCUGGCCCCCACCAUCGCCAGCAAGGUGCGGGGUCCUGGCUGCUCUCCUGGGGGAACAGUGGAGUCUCCAAGUGCUCCAGCAGCAGAGCUGGGGUGGCGGGGGCCGGGGGGUGGGGCUCGCUAAGAUCUUACGGUACUAAGUGGAGGAGGGGAGCAACUCCCUGUGUUGACUCUCUACAUUUUAGUGAACGGACCCAUGGCAGAAUUGCUUGGUUCCGGUGUAUCCCACAGUUUAAGGAGGAAGUAGUCUCCAUGGUUACUUAGUCUUUAUCUCACUGUCCCCCCACGCCCUCCCCCAAGAACCUGCAUGGGUCAGGUUUGCCUCGCUGUAACAAACAGCCACUACAUCCCAGUUGCUUUAACCAAUAAAGAGGUAUUUCUUGCCGCACAGUGCACUCUGAUGGUCAGCGGGCCACCUGCCACACGCUGACCUAGGGAGCCGGGCCUCUCCCAUCGGGUGGCUCUGCCAUCUCCUAGGGCCUCAAGGUCCUUCCCUGAGUCCUUCUACGUCCAGCUGGGCACAAGGGAAGAGACAGAGAGUCUGCAGAGAACACACCCACUCUUAACCGCCUUGGCCUGAAACUGACAAAUGUCGCUUCCUGUCACAUUCUGUUGGUGAGAACACAUCCCAUGACUUGUAGGUGUGUGAAGGCUGGGAGAGCUGUGUCUCUCCUGGUCUGCCUGCCACUUCACAGAAGACCUAGGCCACCUAGAGCUGCAAUUUGAGCUCAUUUGUCUGGCUUUCCCUCAUCAACUUUGGGAAAGUUCUUGAGUGGGAAAAAGCAAGAGGCAGAGAAUGUGAGCGAGGGCCAAUGUGUGCGUGUGAUUCUAAUGGAAUUCACACUACAGCCUUGCGCACCAGAGGUGCUUGGCCAGAACCUGCUGAAUGUAAUCAAAUACCAAAUAACCCCCUGGAUUCCUCUAGGGCCAUGUGAUUGACUGCAACAACCGUGGAUCUGACAGCUCCUGGGGGUCAGGCCUCCCCGGGCUCCUGCGGAAUAAGGGACCACAUCUUCUUGGAGCUCAUAGCACAGA